rnacentral:rRNA from 1 species
GUGCCAGCAGCCGCGGUAAUACGGAGGGUGCAAGCGUUAAUCGGAAUUACUGGGCGUAAAGCGUGUGUAGGUGGUUCGUUAAGUCGGAUGUGAAAGCCCCGGGCUCAACCUGGGAACUGCAUUUGAUACUGACGGACUAGAGUUUAGCAGAGGAAAGCGGAAUUCCGGGUGUAGCGGUGAAAUGCGUAGAUAUCCGGAGGAACACCAGUGGCGAAGGCGGCUUUCUGGGUUAAAACUGACACUGAGGCACGAAAGCGUGGGUAGCAAACAGGAUUAGAUACCCUGGUAGUCCACGCCCGAAACGAUGUCGACUGGCUGUCGUGUUCAUUUGGAACUUGGUAGCGAAGCUAACGCGUUAAGUCGACCGCCUGGGGAGUACGGCCGCAAGGUUGAAACUCAAAUGAAUUGGCGGGG